UGGCUGAGCGGUAAAGCACUUGGUUUCUGAACCAGGUGUCUCGGGUUCAAAUCCUGG
rnacentral:tRNA from 1 species